rnacentral:rRNA from 1 species
AGUGAACGCUGGCGGUAGGCCUAACACAUGCAAGUCGAACGGCAGCACAGUAAGAGCUUGCUCUUACGGGUGGCGAGUGGCGGACGGGUGAGGAAUACAUCGGAAUCUACUUUUUCGUGGGGGAUAACGUAGGGAAACUUACGCUAAUACCGCAUACGACCUACGGGUGAAAGCAGGGGAUCUUCGGACCUUGCGCGAUUGAAUGAGCCGAUGUCGGAUUAGCUAGUUGGCGGGGUAAAGGCCCACCAAGGCGACGAUCCGUAGCUGGUCUGAGAGGAUGAUCAGCCACACGGGAACUGAGACACGGUCCAGACUCCUACGGGAGGCAGCAGGGGGGAAUAUUGGACAAAGGGGGCAAGCCUGAUCCAGCCAUACCGCGUGGGUGAAGAAGGCCUUCGGGUUGUAAAGCCCUUUUGUUGGGAAAGAAAAGCAGCAGGUUAAUACCCCGCUGUUCUGACGGUACCCAAAGAAUAAGCACCGGCUAACUUCGUG